rnacentral:misc_RNA from 1 species
GAAACGCGAUAGUUAAUGUGAAUUGCAGAAUUCAGUGAAUCAUCGAGUCUUUGAACGCACAUUGCGCCUUUUGGUAUUCCGAGAGGCACGCCUGUCUGAGCGUCAGCAAAACCCUUCGGUAGUAAAUUAUUACCGGCGCUGGCGGCGGGCGGUCCCCCAGGGGACCCCCCCGCUUAAACCUGACGCCGGGGCAAGCAGGUUUGGCCGCGAUAAUAGUAGUGAUAUUUUUGUCAAAGCCUCUCCAGCUAAACCCCCCCCCAUCAAAUCAUAAAGGCCCAAAGCCUUGACUUUUUGACCUCAGAUCAGGCGAGGAUACCCGCUGAACUUAA